UUGAUAGGUUGGGUGUGGAAGCACGGUGACGUGUGAAGCUGACCAAUACUAAUUGCUCGUGAGGCUUGACUAUACAACACCCAAACAGUUG
rnacentral:rRNA from 1 species